rnacentral:rRNA from 1 species
ACGAACGCUGGCGGCGUGCCUAAUACAUGCAAGUAGAACGCUGAAGGAGGAGCUUGCUUCUCUGGAUGAGUUGCGAACGGGUGAGUAACGCGUAGGUAACCUGCCUGGUAGCGGGGGAUAACUAUUGGAAACGAUAGCUAAUACCGCAUAAUAUUGACUAUUGCAUGAUAGUCAGUUGAAAGGUGCAACUGCACCACUACCAGAUGGACCUGCGUUGUAUUAGCUAGUUGGUGGGGUAACGGCUCACCAAGGCGACGAUACAUAGCCGACCUGAGAGGGUGAUCGGCCACACUGGGACUGAGACACGGCCCAGACUCCUACGGGAGGCAGCAGUAGGGAAUCUUCGGCAAUGGACGGAAGCCUGACCGAGCAACGCCGCGUGAGUGAAGAAGGUUUUCGGAUCGUAAAGCUCUGUUGUAAGAGAAGAACGAGUGUGAGAGUGGAAAGCUCACACUGUGACGGUAUCUUACCAGAAAGGGACGGCUAACUACGUG